GCUAGCGUAGCUUAAAUUAAAGCAUGGCACUGAAGAUGCUAAGAUGGGCCCUAAAAAGUUCCGCACGCA
rnacentral:tRNA from 1 species